rnacentral:lncRNA from 1 species
CCCAACGAGACAGAUCCCAAGCCCUAUAGCCCAAUAUAAAAUUAUUUCAUAAGAGAAAAAAAAUAUAGUUAAACCCCUAUGCUCAACCGGAGUUACACUUCGGCUUUCGUCUACUUCAAAAUCUUGGGCUGACCGAGUAUCUUGUCGUCCCAAACAAGGCCUUCCAUCCAAUUCUCCACCAACAUCAUAAACAGUCAUGUCGAAAUAACCAAAAUGCUUCGACUACCAUCAUCUUUACCUCCUCUCCCUCCCACUCUCUGGUGAAAAACAUACAAUUAUAGGAAAAGGCAAGGGUCAGAAAUGCAUUGUUCAGACCAUUAUAAUUUGAUUAAACCAGAAAAAAAAUAUAUUCUUUUAUGACAGACAUCAAUGUAAAGAUUGGAUUUAAGAAACUCGUACCUGUAAAUCUCUUGGGAACAUCUGAAGCUAUGAAUAAAAAGAAGAUACAAUCAACAACAAACACGCUAGAAGACCAGAAUUAUAUGAAAGCUUCAGCCAUUGUCUUCCCAUACCCAGUGUGAGAGCCGAAUACCGUGCUCCUCCGCUCGAGCACCACCAGCACGCCAAUGCACUGGAUCUUAGAUGACACUGAAAUCCCCCAUCUCCUUGACAACGCCUAUCACCUCCUCACCGAAGCCUAGACCUUCGAAGCUCGAUGGGGUCACACUCCUGUUCUGCCUGAUGCCAGUGCUAGCAAAAGCAAGGAAGUAGGAGAAGUGGACAUUGUUUCGGCUUGCUCAUUGACGUGUCUGACACGAAGGUGGUUGAGGGUGGCAGCACCCCACGCCUACUACCACCAUAAUCACCCUGACACCUCCACCGCACCAUCACUAUCACCACCACCUCAGUCACUUCAGGUCAAAAUGAUAACCGUGUAUGCCGUUUUGGAACGUCUAAAAGCAGACUAGACC